CUUUGCAAGCUGGAAACCCUUCUCUUUUUAAAAAGACAAUUUGCAGUAAGCGCUCAUCGAUCAGGAUCAUCAGAAAGUGGGAGUUCAUCAGACCUUGAUGCGAUAUAUUUUUUUCUUUUUUGAUUCGUUCAGUUAAGAGUGUUCUCCGAGUAUAGUGUAUCCCGUGGUUAGCCGGCUACUGCACUUAAUUACUUUUUUCUAUAAAACUACUCGACCAACCUUAUAGAAACCACUAUGUGACAUCGUAAAUAGUACAACAAAAAUGUACAACGUUCUCAUAUUGAGCCUGAAC
rnacentral:lncRNA from 1 species